GUCUUCUAGUAGCUGUGCCAAGAGAAAUCUCAGUCAUUACGAAUCUCGCAGAGACCGUGAUGGAUCACGAGAAGCAACUUUUGGACCCGUCCCCAUCCUCCACCUCGGGGACAGCAGGAGAGACUAUGGCCAUGAAGCCUUCAGUACAAGUCCAAAUAGGUAACCCACCUGACACACUGCAAAUCAAUACAUGGCAUGACUUCACACUAUAAUUAAGGUUUAACAGUAAGCAGUAGCAAAGAAUGCAAAGCCCUCAAACGUUGUGUAAUACCUAUAUUGUCAUAUUAUUAUUUCAGUGAACAGAUAAGAGCAAUUCAACUGUGAUUUAUUGUAUAUCUGCAUAGACUUUUUCUUUUUUGUUUAUGGCCCGAGACAAGUUACUUGUGUGUGUUAACAUGUGUGUACUGACACUUUCGCAUAAAAAAAUGAUUUGGAUAAUGGGCAGCAGCUACAUUUGUCGUGGGGAAGAGAGGGCCAGAGAGACCAUGGGGGCCAAUCUUGGCCUAGCGGCCAAGGUUCACUGGUUUGGCUGGGGUGGACUUCGAUGGCACUCUCUCUUUUCUUCCCCACGACGAAUGUAGCUAGCUUGAGAGGAGAUUGUGGGUCAGCUGCCUUGUUCCCCCUUUCCUGUGUGUUUGUGUCUCCCUUUUCCCCUCUGUGUGUGUCUGUAGCGUUUGUCUCCACCUGGAAGUGGCCUCCACUGGCACAGCUGAUGCACAUUCCAUGAUUCACACACAUACUCCUACGUGAUCCCGCCGUUACCUGCUUCCUACCUGCCGUGCUCUGCCGUGCUGCCUGCCUCAUGCCACUCAGACACAACCACCUGCUUCUCCUGGAUUCUACUCAGAACUUCUUUGGAUCCGCCACUGCCUGGUUCCCUCAAGCUGCAGUCCAUUCCAAGAAGACUACAAGCUCAGCCUUGAUUGUUCAUCUCCUCUGAGUAUUUAUGCCUAAUAAAUACUUGAACUGUUUAUCUGUGUCCUGAUUGGUAUCUCUGUG